rnacentral:rRNA from 1 species
AUUCCAGCUCCAAUAGCGUAUAUUAAAGUUGUUGCGGUUAAAAAGCUCGUAGUUGGAUUUCUGCUGAGGACGACUGGUCCGCCCCCUGGGUGAGCAUCUGGUUCGGCCUGGGCAUCUUCUUGGGGAACGUAUCUGCACUUGAUUGUGUGGUGCGGUAUCCAGGACUUUUACUUUGAGGAAAUUAGAGUGUUUCAAGCAGGCCCGCGCCUUGAAUACAUUAGCAUGGAAUAAUAAGAUAGGACCUCGGUUCUAUUUUGUUGGUUUCUAGAGCUGAGGUAAUGAUUAAUAGGGAUAGUUGGGGGCAUUCAUAUUCCAUUGUCAGAGGUGAAAUUCUUGGAUUAACGGAAGAUGAACUUCUGCGAAAGCAUUUGCCAAGGAUGUUUUCAUUA